CCUUUCCUUUCCCCUCUCAGCUGCUUAAGGAAAGGGCCUGAGGGGAAAGGAAAGGGCCCGAGGCCAGGAAUUUUGGGAGUUAAAGUCCAAAACACCUGGAUGGAGAGCCAAAGUUUACCCAUGCCUGAUCUAACGGGAUGAACAUGGCAUUUAUCAAAAGCAUUUUCAGCAGACUUUAAACAACAUAGCAUAUAAAGUAGAACUCUAUGCAUUGAGCAUCCAUUGCCUGGAAUGCUGAAAUCCUCCAAAAGCCAAAGUCCUCCACAUGGGUGGCUGAGGUAUUGAUACCUUGGUAUUCUGAUGAAUACAUUUGUAUUCCGAUUAAACAAAUAUUGUUUAAUGCACAAAACUAUUGCAAAUAUUGCAUAACGUUAUCUUCAGCCAAUGAGUAUAUAGGGCACAUGAAUGAAUUUCAAGUUUAGACUUGGGUCCCCUCUCCCAAGAUAUUUCAUAUUGUACAUAUAUGCAAA